rnacentral:rRNA from 1 species
UCCGGAAUUAUUGGGCGUAAAGCGCGCGCAGGCGGUUUCUUAAGUCUGAUGUGAAAGCCCCCGGCUCAACCGGGGAGGGUCAUUGGAAACUGGGGAACUUGAGUGCAGAAGAGGAGAGUGGAAUUCCACGUGUAGCGGUGAAAUGCGCAGAGAUAUGGAGGAACACCAGUGGCGAAGGCGGCUCUCUGGUCUGUAACUGACGCUGAUGUGCGAAAGCGUGGGGAUCAAACAGGAUUAGAUACCAUGGUAGUCCACGCCGUAAACGAUGAGUGCUAAGUGUUACGGGGUUUCCGCCCCUUAGUGCUGCAGCUAACGCAUUAAGCACUCCGCCUGGGGAGUACGAGCCGCAGGUUGAAACUCAAAGGAAUUGACGGCGACCCCGGGCAAGCGGUGGAGCAUGUGGUUUAAUUCGAAGCAACGCGAAGAACCGUACCAAAUCUUGACAUCCUCUGACCACCCUGGAGACAGGGUUUCCCUUCGGGGCAGAGUGACAGGUGGUGCAUGGUUGUCGUCAGCUCGUGUCGUGAGAUGUUGGGUUAAGUCCCGCAACGAGCGCAACCCUUAAACUUAGUUGCCAGCAUUGAGUUGGGCACUCUAAGUUGACUGCCGGUGACAAACCGGAGGAAGGUGGGGAUGACGUCAAAUCAUCAUGCCCCUUAUGAUUUGGGCUACACACGUGCUACAAUGGACAGGUGACAAAGGGCAGCUAAGCCGCGAGGCCAAGCGAAUCCCAUAAAACUGUUCUCAGUUCGGAUUGGAGUCUGCAACUCGACUCCAUGAAGCUGGAAUCGCUAGUAA